GGGAUAGAAGCUCAGUGGUUGAGCACUCGAUUGCAGCAUUGUCAUGUGGUUAUAUCGAUAGGCCGCGUGUUCGAUUCACGCCUGUCCCU